rnacentral:rRNA from 1 species
AUUGAACGCUGGCGGCAGGCCUAACACAUGCAAGUCGAGCGGAGCGGCGGACGGGUGAGUAAUGCCUAGGAAUCUGCCUGGUAGUGGGGGAUAACGUCCGGAAACGGGCGCUAAUACCGCGUACCAUAGGAUGAGCCCAAGUGGGAUUAGGUAGUUGGUGAGGUAAAGGCUCACCAAGCCGACGAUCUCUAGCUGGUCUGAGAGGAUGACCAGCCACACGGGGACUGAGACACGGCCCAGACUCCUACGGGAGGCAGCAGUGGGGAAUUUUGGACAAUGGGCGCAAGCCUGAUCCAGCCAUGCCGCGUGUCUGAAGAAGGCCUUCGGGUUGUAAAGGACUUUUGUCAGGGAAGCGGUACCUGAAGAAUAAGCACCGGCUAACUACGUGCCAGCAGCCGCGGUAAUAC